UUCCAUCACAAAUCAGUUCCCAUUGUUAAAGGGUUUGAAAGCGCAAAGGAUAUCAGUUCCAGUUCCAUUCCUACAAUACACAAUGUUGUCAUGGUUGAGAUUAAAGAGGUUUCCCUUUCUUUCAAACCCCAAUUUUUUUCUUCACUCUCACUUUCAUUCUGUUACUCAUUCCUUUCACAAUGUUGAUGAUGCUGUCUCCUUCUUCAACCGCAUGCUCCAAAUGCGGAUUACCCCACCCAUCAUCGAAUUCAACAAGGUUUUAACUUCACUCGUGAAGACCAAGCAUUACACCACCGCUAUAUCGCUUUCUCGCCAAAUGGAGAUCACUGGAAUUACGCCCAGCCUUGUCACUCUCAACAUCCUCAUCAAUUGCCACUGCUACCUAGGUCAAACCACUUCCGCAUUUUCUGUAUUGGCCAACAUUCUCAAGAGGGGUUUUCAGCCAACUACCAUCACCUUCACUACUCUUAUCAAAGGUCUCUGUCUUCGCGGCAAUGUUCACAGAGCUCUGCAAUUUCAUGAUGUCGUGCUGGCCCAGGGGUUUCGGUUGAAUCAAGUCAGUUACGGGACCUUGAUCAAUGGGCUAUGUAAAAUGGGUGAAACAAGUGCUGCUUUGGAGUUUCUGAGACAGAUUGAAGGGCAAUUGAUUAUUCCUAAUGUGGUAAUGUACACCACAAUCAUUGAUAGCUUGGGCAAAGAUAAACGUGUAAGUGAUGCUUUUGAUUUAUAUUCGGAAAUGGUUGCCAAGGGAAUAUCUCCUAAUGUUUUCACUUACAGUGCUUUAAUAUAUGGCUUUUGCAUUGUUGGUCAAUUGAAACAAGCAAUUCGUUUGUUACAUGAAAUGACAACAGAAAACAUAGACCCAGAUGUUUUUACGUAUAAUAUAUUGGUCGAUGCUUUAGGUAAGGAAGGGAAGGUGAGAGAAGCUAAGAACAUGUUAGCUGUGAUGAUGAAGCAGGGUGUGAAACCUAAUGUUGUUACUUAUAAUUCUUUGAUGGAUGGGUAUUGCUUAGUUAAUGAAGUGAACAAAGCCCAAGCUGUAUUCAACACCAUGACCCAAAUGGGAGUGUUUCCUGAUGUUCUGAGCUACAGUAUCAUGAUUAACGGAUUAUGUAAGAUGAAAAUGGUGAAUGAAGCCUUGAAUCUCUUGAAACAAAUGCAUAGCGAAAAGAUAAUUCCUAAUACAAUAACCUACAACUCUCUUAUUGAUGGUUUGUGCAAAUUAGGGAGAAUCUCUGAUGCUUGGGAACUUGUUGAUGAGAUGCAUGCUAGAGGUACACCACCUGAUGUAAUCACUUACAAUUCUUUCUUGGAUGCUUUAUGCAAAAGCCACCAUGUUGAUAAGGGAAUUGCUUUAAUCAAGAAAAUUAUAGACAAGGGUAUUCAGCCAGAUAUGUGCACAUACAAUAUACUUCUGGAUGGACUAUGCAAAUGUGGUAGAAUUAAGGAUGCACAAGAGGUUUUUCAGGAUCUUUUUAAAAAAGGCUAUAAUUUGAAUAACUGGACAUAUAAUACUAUGAUCAAUGGACUUUGUAAAGAGGGCUUGUUUGAUGAAGCAUUGACAUUGAUGUCGAAAAUGGAAGACAAUGGUUGCAUCCAUGAUCCAAUAACUUUUGAAACAAUUAUUUCUGCUCUUUUUGAAAAAGGUGAAAAUGAUAAGGCAGAGAAGCUUCUUCGUGAAAUGAUUGCUAGAGAUCUAUUGUGAAGGUAAAAUUAGGUGUGUUUAAACUUCAAAAAGUAAAAGGUGAAGCAACUUCAUUUCCCCCUUGAAAUUACAUUUGAAUUUUCAAGCAAUGGAGUAAGGGUCAUCAUUUGGGUAGUUUAAGCUGAUUGUUACCAGCCGGAAGAAAAGGCACUCAUCUGGAACAGUCUAAGCAAUGCGAUUAAUGUGAUUGACACUCUCAUAGCUGAUGUAAACUAUGCUGUGAAGUAGGCUGAAGUUGAAAUAACACCAAACCCUGUUGUGCUUGCUGCUAGUUUACUACUGAAUCUUGCCCGUUCGCAUCGGUGGUGUGCGAGUAGUGUUAGAAAUGGCCGGGAUACUCAACUGUUCUUCCUGAUGAUUGUAGACUGCAUCUUUUACCAUACCUUGGUUGUUCCAAUGAGAAACAGAGAAAAUGUUGCUGGUGGGGAUUAUUUGGUAAUGCAGUGGUCUGGUCUAUUUGGAUAAAUAGUCACUCUAUUGUGUUUAGGGAAGGAAAUGUAGAUGUGGAUAGAGUAGGAUGUAGGGUUUUCAUUGUUCAUUCCUUGAGUGGAUUUUGAACUUAGCUCAGUGCUUGAAAGUAUUGUAACCUGUUUGCCCCCAAGUUGUGCAGCUAGUGUUGUUCGCUAUUUUGAUUAAGUUGCUCAGUGCAUUGUAACUUUUUAGAGUUUUAUUAAUCAGUAAUGGUAAUUGUUAUGAAAUUCCAAAAAACGAAAUGUAAGAAUGCAAAUGUCACCAUCCGAUUUUUUCAAUUGAAAUUCUUGGAUUUCGACUCACCAUGUUACGUACUGUUUAGCAUUGCUGUAUUUUUCUGGUUUUCACUUUCAGUAUUUUAAUUUACAUAUUAUCCUCAAUUUUAUACAUUGGAUUUGGCUUUAAAGCGAGAAGAUUCUACUCUA